rnacentral:lncRNA from 1 species
CGGCCUGGCUGGGGCGAGGGGCUGGUCUGGGUCCCUGGGAACCCCUUGCCUUGUGGGCUUCGGUCUCCAGGGAGGAGCUAGGCAGCCGGGCUGCGGGGCCGCCGGACUGUGGGGUCCUCCGCGCAGCGAGCUGGGAGGAGCGGUCGGCUGGGCUGUUGAGCUGCGCCUCCUCCAACUGCUGGGAAACUCCGCACUUCAAUAUUGGAGCAUCUCUUUCCCGGGCAGGAAGAAGAAAUAAAUGUCUUCUCUGUAAGACAUCACUGUCAAGAACACUGAAAGAAGAACCCAUUAACGUAGGGAACGUUGAGGACUGGAACAGGUUGUAGGGCGUCUUCCUACACUUUGGGUUAUAACUUCCAUUGCAUCACCACCAUUUACCAGUAAACCAGCACACACAGCAAUCAGUACUCGAAAUGGUUCUCUUUUGCAGAAAAAGCCUGCUUUUCUCCCAGCUUUGGUGAGAUAGAUACGUAAUCUUCGUAAAGACCUAUAAGGAAUUCCUCUGUGGAACAAAAUUUU